rnacentral:rRNA from 1 species
UACGUAGGGGGCAAGCGUUGUCCGGAUUCAUUGGGCGUAAAGGGUGCGUAGGCGGCGCGGUAAGUCGGGUGUGAAAUCUCGGAGCUUAACUCCGAAACUGCAUUCGAUACUGCCGUGCUUGAGGACUGGAGAGGAGACUGGAAUUUACGGUGUAGCGGUGAAAUGCGUAGAUAUCGUAAGGAAGACCAGUGGCGAAGGCGGGACUCUGGACAGUUCCUGACACUGAGGCACGAAGGCCAGGGGAGCAAACGGG